rnacentral:lncRNA from 1 species
UGGUAACGUGCGUUACAAUAGGAGCUGUCUCACAGGCGAGGUGUUUUCGAAAAAACAACACAGGCGCAACAACCGUAAAUAAAGAGGAGAAGAAGACAGGUUUAAAUCAAUACAAGAAGAAGAAUAUUUGGUUUAAAGAUUUCAAGAUGGCAACAACGAAGGAUAAUUUAACAUUUUGUAAGUAGUUAUACCUGCACUAUUUUCAAUUUAUCAGAGAAAUAGACAAGAACCUCACAGUAAGGUGCACUUUAUGUGCAGGUGGGAUGGCCUGGCAAUAACAAGUCAAUUGAAAAGUCCUUGGCCUACCAUAGAAAAACACAUUUUUAUCAAAAUUUAGUUUUUUUAUUCAACAUAAUUCCCUUCAAGGGUGAUACACUGAUUAUAGCGAUCUUCCGACUUUUGAAUACUGUUUUUGUAGUACGAUUUGUGCUUUGCUUCAAAAUAGUCAUCAGUUUCGGCGAUCACCUCUUCAUUCCACGAAAAUUUCUUCCCAGCGAGCAUUCUUUUGAGAUACGAGAACAGGGAAUAGUCGAUGGGGGCCAGAUCUGGAGAAUACGGUGAAUGAGGAAGCAAUUCGAAGUUCAAUUAAUGGAUUUUGCCAUUGUUUUCAAUGGCUUGUGACAAAAUGCAUUGUGUUGGUAAAACAGCACUUUCUUUUUCUUCAAAUGCGGCCGUUUUUCGGUAGUCAAUGAAAACUAUUCCAUGUGCAUCCCAAAAUACAGACGCCAUAACCUUGCCAGUCGACUGUUGCAUUUCCCCACGCUUUGGAGCGGGUUCCUCGUGUCCAGUCCACUCGGAUGACUGUCGAUUGGGCUUUGGAGUGAAAUGAUGGAGCCUUGUUUCAUCCAUUGUAAGCAUAUCAACGCAAAAACUCGGGCUUAUUACGCUUGAUCAUCUUCAAACAUUGCUCCGAUUCAUCAACUCGUCGUUGUUUUUGUUUAAAAGUGAGCUCGCGCGGCACCCACUUUACACAGAGCUUUCUCAUACACAAAUAUUCGUGAAUCAUAUGAUGUACACAUUCAGUUGAUAUCUUUAGAGUGUCUGCUAUUUCAUUCAAUUUCAAUUUACGGUCAUUCAAAAUCAUUUUGAUGAUUUUUUUAAUGUUUUCGUCGGUAACAACCUCUUUUGGGCGUCCACUGUCCAAGUAACUAGCAAUAUGAAAUAUAUUAGAUUUUGGAAGUAA